UUCGCGGUGAACUGCCAGGUGCUGUCGUCGCCCAGGAGUGCCUGCUCGCCGAAGUGGUCGCCGUCGGCGACGACGCCGAGCCGGGUCUGCUCGCCGUACGAUCCCUCGCCGAGCUUCUCGAUCUUGCCGUGGGCGACGAGGUAGACCGUGUCGGCCGGUUCGCCGACGGUGGCGAUGACCUCGCCCGGGCCGUACUCGCGCUGGACGAAGCGGUCGGCGAGGGCGGUCAGCGCGCCCUCGUCGCCGAACGUGCGCAGCGCGGCGAUCUCGCCGAGCUCCUGCGGGAUGACCCGCACCUCCGAGCCCGUCUUCACGAAGGUCACCCGGCCGUCGCCGACGGCGUAGCUGAGCCGCCGGUUGACCCGGUAGGUGCCGGCGCUGACCUGUACCCAGGGCAGUACUUUCAGCAGCCAGCGGGACGAGAUGCCCUGCAUCUGCGGAGCGGACUUGGUGGUCGUCGCCAGGUUCCGCGCGGCCGCCGUGUCCAGGCUGGUCCGCGG
rnacentral:antisense_RNA from 1 species